rnacentral:misc_RNA from 1 species
AAAGUCGUAACAAGGUCUCCGUAGGUGAACCUGCGGAGGGAUCACUAUAGAAAAUAUACCACCAGGGGGGGGAGGAGAAGCAGGAAGCAGGGAGUGCUUUUUCUGUUCCUGUUCUUCUCCUUUUCCUGGACAAACAAUCAACACACAUGACUAGGAAAGAAAAGAAAAGAAAAGGAUUUGUAUUUGUGUGGGGGGAUGAGGAAAAGGGGAAAGGAAAUGUGAUUUGGUUCCUAACCCUCUCACACACACACAAGAAGAAGUUCUUGUCUGAUAAGUAGCUUACUGAUUUGGUCAGGUUACUACACAUCAAUACAACUUUCAACAACGGAUCUCUUGGCUCUC